rnacentral:tRNA from 1 species
GGCGGGGUAGCUCAGUGGUAGAGCGGCCGGCUCAUACCCGGUAUGUCGGGGGUUCAAAUCCCCCCCUCGCUA